GACGAACGCUGGCGGCGUGCUUAACACAUGCAAGUCGAACGGAAAGGCCCUGCUUUUGUGGGGUGCUCGAGUGGCGAACGGGUGAGUAACACGUGAGUAACCUGCCCUUGACUUUGGGAUAACUUCAGGAAACUGGGGCUAAUACCGGAUAGGAGCUCCUGCUGCAUGGUGGGGGUUGGAAAGUUUCGGCGGUUGGGGAUGGACUCGCGGCUUAUCGGCUUGUUGGUGGGGUAGGGGCUUACCAAGGCUUUGACGGGUAGCCGGCCUGAGAGGGUGACCGGCCACAUUGGGACUGAGGUACGGCCCAGACUCCUACGGGAGGCAGCAGUGGGGAAUAUUGCACAAUGGGCGGAAGCCUGAUGCAGCAACGCCGCGUGCGGGAUGACGGCCUUCGGGUUGUAAACCGCUUUCGCCUGUGACGAAGCGUGAGUGACGGUAAUGGGUAAAGAAGCACCGGCUAACUACGUG
rnacentral:rRNA from 1 species